CCCUUAGAUGUCCUGGGCCACACGCGCGUUACAAUGACAUGUUCAACAAGUAAAUUUAUCAUUCCUUUCCUGAAGAGGAUGGGUAAUCUUUUAAAUGCAUGUCGUGCUGGGGAUUGAGCCUUGUAAUUAUUGCUCAUGAACGAGGAACUCCUAGUAAGUAUAAGUCAUCAACUUGUGCUGAUUACGUCCCUGCCCUUUGUACACACCGCCCGUCGCUUCUACUGAUGAAUGGAUCGAUGAGGAUAAAGGACGAGUUUGUUGUUUUCAAUUUAUAUUGAAACUCUGAUUCGAAAUUUAUUCAAAUCUCUCCAUUUAGAGGAAGAAGAAGUCGUAACA
rnacentral:rRNA from 1 species